UAGACAAAUAAAUCUAUUCCAUACACCUAGUAAAAACGCACAAAUGUAAGAAAAAAUUAUCAAUAAAAGCAAAAAAAACCGUACAAAAUCACUAAAAACCCUGACAAAAGACUCUCAAAACCCUCUUAUACGCGCAAACGCCCGCAGCACCAAAAGGGAAUUCUCCUGACGUCAUACAUAUCAGAUUACCCAUGAAGUCAAACCAUCAUAAAACAUCGCCAAAUUCAAACGCCCACUCAGAACGGUCUACCACGGCUUCGGGUCAACACCUCCUUCUACGCUCGACAAUGAGGCACUUACAGUAGACACAGCUACGGUCGACCGACACACCCCGACCACUCCCCAAAAUAAAUUAUAAUACAUUACCCACGUUGCCCCCCCCCCAGUCCAAAAAAUACAAUUCUGCUGACGCGGCUAAUCUAUUUUUAGUAACUCACAAUACUAUUCCCUACAAAAAAACUAGUUCACACCCCCCCCCCCGCUAAAAAAGUGGUUCAUAUACACUUAACUACUGACGUCAGCAACUAUUUUAUGAAUUAUCGCAUAACAUUUGUCGAGCAAGAUGAAUUAUAGCCUGCGUAGCAGGCGUUUAGUGCGGGCGGAGAAUGCGUGCGAAGAAUCUUUGGAAAAGCUUCCCAUUGGUCAAUCUCGUUAACGGGGAGUAAUUACGCAACUCAAAUGUCAACAAUAAUUUUACUCUCGUAUCGAAAAUAUGCCGCCUGUUAAUAUGCUUUCGAGGGAACUCUUAUGGAUUAAUUAAUUACAAACCUAUUAUGGUAAUGCUAUCAUAGCAAAUGUAAAGCCUGGUAAACU